rnacentral:rRNA from 1 species
GACGAACGCUGGCGGCGUGCUUAACACAUGCAAGUCGAACGGAAAGGCCCCUUUGGUGGUACUCGAGUGGCGCACGGGUGAGUAACACGUGAGUAAGCUGCCCUUGACUUCGGGAUAAUUUCAGGAAACUGGGGCUAAUACCGGUUAGGAAUCCUUGCUGCAUGGUGGGGGUUUGAAAGCUUCGGCGGCUGUGGGUGGACUGGCGGCUUAUCAGCUUGUUGGUGGGGUAGUGGCUUACCAAGGCUUUGACGGGUAGCGGGCCUGAGGGGGCGACCGGCCACAUUGGGACUGAGAGACGGCCCAGAUUCCGACGGGAGGCAGCAGUGGGGAAGAUUGAACAAUGGGCGGAAGCCUGAUGCAGCAACGCCGCGUGCGGGAUGACGGCCUUCGGGUUGUAAACCGGUUUCAGCAGGGGCGAGGCGUGUGGUGACGGUACCUGCAGAAGAAGCACCGGCUAACUACGUG